AACUUAAGCUAGUAAUUAUCCGUCCCUCUCGGUAUCCUAAACAUAAAAUGUCUGUCUUCCCACCCACCCUAAAUGAUGCAUCAAAUAUUGUAUUUUCAUGAGAGGGUGAAAUAAAUACUGUUUUCUUUAAAAUGGUUGAAAACUGGUGAAAAGAAACAAGAUAAAUUGCAUCCCUUUGACAAUAAAAUGAGAUAUAUUUGUAAAUGAUAUGCUCAAUAAAUAUAAUUUGUGAAAAAAUUCUGGGAACAUAUUCAAAGAUGAAAUUCAAUUCAGGUAGAUGCAUUUGAAAAGCGAUUUGCUUUCAUUGCAUUUUGAAAUAUUCAUUUGUCAAACAGAAAAUGUGAGAAUGUCAAUACUUAAAACCCAUUAAUACAGUAUAUCAAAUCAAUUCUCAAAAUGGGGUCAUGGUUCAAGGGAGAAAAUUUAUAUCAAUUUCAAGGUAAUAUUUCCACGAUUUGUAAUUUUCCCAAAAUAACUUAUAAUUUGACAUUUUAGUACUGAAAGAGACCUUUACCAUAUUUCAAAGGAAGGAUAAAUGGAAAAUAUUAACUAAUUCAAUGGCAUAGAAUCAAUUAGCAUUGGCAGUCUGUAUUAGUGAUUGGAAUGGAAUAUAUUCCCAUUGGGAUGCCAUUAUAGCUUGAGUGGACUUUAAAAUUACCACUCUUAUUGGAUCCAUUUAAAGAGUCCAAAAUUAUUUAUAAACAAGCAUUAUUUACCUAAUAAAUUUUGUAAGCCUAAUGUUUAUGAAAUCAUAAGCCCCAUUGCAAAAAACUUAUUAAAAAUUCAGCUUGUUGUCAGACUUCAGAUAGAUCUGUGUACCAGCACUAUUAUACAGCAACAGACCUAAGCCCAUGUCAGGGGAAAAAAAACAACAAUUCAGGAAAGACACACAUCUGGCAGAGCAAGCAAUGUACAUAGUAAUUCACAACCUCUCAUUACGAGGCAGGGUGACGCCCCUUAAUAUUUGAUCAUCUACUAUUCUGUGCCGUAUUGCUACUUUCUUUAGGAAUUAUGUGCUAUCAAGCAUUUCAGCCAUUUCUAUAGUUUCAAGUGAAGCAGAAAAUGGAAUAAACGAAGGAGUGGUGCCAAUCGUCGAUGGUUUGUAUUCAUUCAAUUCAGUGUCUAUCGACCUUCAGACUUCGUCUAUUACCCAGCAAGACUUUCAGAUAUGUCUGAUAGCCGGUGUGGCCUGAUGUUUUGACUGAUCACCAACCAUCAUCCUUUCGAAGGGAGGACGACGAUGGUAGUGGGAGAACACCUGUGCCUGGAUGCACACAUCUGUGUAGGAUGACAACUUCUAGUAUCAUGAAGCUUAUGAAGACAAUCAUCACAUGAAGAUUGGUAUCGCAGUAUCUGUGGUCUUCAAGAAGCCGGAGGAAUUCCAUCUAGGAUCAGUAUGAAGUAGCUACAAUGAAAGAGGAGACAUUUCUUCAUAUCAUCUACAUUACUUCAACACAGAGGAAUGUCUAUAAAGCUAUUUGCAGCAUUCCUGCUGCCUUGAUAAUAUGUCCCACUAGAACCUCUUG
rnacentral:lncRNA from 1 species